rnacentral:ribozyme from 2 species
AUUCUAAUGUAGCCAAUGCAAGUCACAAGCCUUGAUGAGAAAUACAGAGUGGAAU